UAUUUCCCAUUUUGGACUUGUUUUGUACGUGAAGCAAAAUAAACCGUCAAAGCAAACUUUCCUUCACAUUACAUUGUUCCUCUUCAUAUAAAGUUUCUACAAUUAUAUAUCAAGAAAGAGUUUCUCGCAGACAAAACAUUAUACUUUUCAUUACAAACCCAACAAACACGACAUUAUCGAGGAAUAUGAGAUCCAAAAGGAAGAAACAAGACGCACCAGAGUAGUUUCAGACAAAGCACUCAACUUUUAUAUACUUACAAACAUAAAGAUGUAGUGUACAGAAACUCUUUCAAAUAGCAAGGAAAAAGAGAAAAAAAAAGAAAGAACAAACAAACCCCAUUUGAUGAAAUGAUGCAAAUGAUGGAGGGAGGGAAAAAAGAAGGGUUAUUUACCCAAUUUCUUCCCCUUUCCCAGCAAAAAA